ensembl:snRNA U6 U6 spliceosomal RNA
GUGCUUGCUUCAGCAAAACAUAUAUUAAAAUCAGAAUGAUACACAGAUUAGCAUGGCCCCUGUGCAAAGAUAACACAUAAAUUCUUGAAGCAUUUCAUAUUUUU